rnacentral:lncRNA from 1 species
AAUGUUUCUCAUGUCAUGAAGUUUCCAAAACAUCCAUCACACUGCAUGAAAUUGGAAUAUAUGAUCACUUGCUUAUUCAUGAAGUUUUCAAAGGAAAAUUACCAAAAUCAAAAUUGGUUGAUCACAUGCAUGUAAUUCCAUUUCCAAUGUGUGCAUGGAGUAAUUUUGAGUGGAUUUGGGCCAGCUUGGUGUACUGUUCACGUGUGCUUCCCAUGCAUGAGGUGAAAAUGAAAAUUGGUGCAUAAACCUUG